GAUGAAGAACGCAGCGAAAUGCGAUAAGUAAUGUGAAUUGCAGAAUUCAGUGAAUCAUCGAAUCUUUGAACGCACCUUGCGCUCCUUGGUAUUCCAAAGAGCAUGCCUGUUUGAGUAUCAUUAAAUUAUCAACUGUACCAAUUUGGUUGCAGAUUGGAUGUGGGAGAUUUUGCAGGCUUUUGAUUUCUCUUUGAGAAAACGGUCAGCUCUCCUGAAAUAUAUUAGCAGUGCCUUUGUUGGUUCAUUAGGUGUGAUAAUUUAGCUACAUCUUCACAUGGUACCUUCAUUUGUGUAAAGGUCAUAUUGCUUCUAAUUGUCUUUGGACAUAAAAAAAAAAAAACAUAUAAUUGUAUGGAAAACUUGAUCUCAAAUCAGGCAGGACUACCCGCUGAACUUAAGCAUAUCAAUAAGCGGAGGA
rnacentral:misc_RNA from 1 species